rnacentral:rRNA from 1 species
AACGUAGGGGGCGAGCGUUGUCCGGAAUUACUGGGCGUAAAGGGUGCGUAGGCGGUCGUUUAAGUCCUGUGUGAAAGGCCCCGGCUUAACCGGGGAGAGCCAUGGGAAACUGGGCGACUUGAGUGUCGGAGAGGGUUGCGGAAUUCCCGGUGUAGCGGUGAAAUGCGUAGAGAUCGGGAGGAACACCAGUGGCGAAGGCGGCAACCUGGACGAUGACUGACGCUGAGGCACGACAGCUGGGGGAGCAAACAGGAUUAGAAACCCCCGUAGUCC